GGGGUCGCUCGGUUUUGACAGCGGGUAGAAGUGAUGAGUAAGCAUACAGUGCGUUGUUGGUUUGCACUUAAAUCUCAAUCCUCAAAAUUUAUAACUGGCAACGAAAAUUAUGCUCUUGCUGCGUAACUGAAGAAUAGUAGGUUAAUCGCUUAAUUCCGACACUAGGUGACGGAACGAGACAUCAUCCGAAAACUGUGGCUUCGAAGUGUUUCGAUACGAUGGUGCAGAGAAAUCGAAGAUAGGAUAAACAAUGCUUUGGUGUUUAUCUGAAAGUUUAAAAGAUAAGGUAAUGAUUGGUAGCUUUGGUCUUGUUAUUACUCGAAAAUUUAAGCAAAGAUAAGUAUGUAGAAAGCUGAUUAGUUCCUCGUUUGGACGAGGGUUCGACUCCCUCCGACUCCACAA
rnacentral:tmRNA from 1 species